UACGGAGGGUGCAAGCGUUGUUCGGAAUUACUGGGCGUAAAGAGCACGUAGGCGGGCUCGUAAGUCGAUUGUGAAAGCCCCGAGCUCAAUUCGGGAAUUGCAGUCGAAACUAUGAGUCUUGAAUACCCAAGAGGGUGAGGGAAUUCCUGGUGUAGAAGUGAAAUUCGUAGAUAUCAGGAGGAACACCGGAGGCGAAGGCGCUUGCCUGGUGGUGUAUUGACGCUGAGGUGCGAAAGCGUGGGGAGCAAACAGG
rnacentral:rRNA from 1 species